UUCAGCACAGAAGUAGGAUGAGGACGUUCUUGUUUUUGGUGUUAUGUAAAACACAUUAAAUAGUCUUUAAACGGGACCACUGAAGACAUUUUUGCUGAGAAUUUCUUUACUUUGUAUGGCAGGAGGGGGCCUAGUCCCCCCGUCUGUCAGCAGUCAGUCAUCUCGUGCUGCUAGUUGUUGUUCGGUAGCAACGCACCGAGUGGUGCGCAAACUGAAGACUGCGUACAGUGCUCGUGCAAAGUGACGGAUAUAAGCGACGUGUGUGCGGGCUACGGACUCUCUCUAUCUCCAGCAGCACUCAAGGUUUUUGCCGCCGUGUUGGCCUCGGAAGAGCGGAUGGGAUAUUAAAGGAAAAACACCCCGUCAAGACCCCGCUCGUCUCGGAAAAGAGUGUUACCUCUUCUUGAGAGAAUAGUUGUUAGCUCCGUCUCUUCUCUCCUAUCGUCGAUAUGUGAAAGAGCUUCUUCCCUCGAGUGGAGUGGCGAAAUAUGGGCGACGUUCGUGUGUAUUUCCUCUAGUUGAGCUGCAUCGGUUAACCAGUGGGACAAGGCUAACCUGCCGUACCUAGCCGUUUGAAAACAAGGUGCCCUGACUGACUCCUCGCACCGUUGAAAUUUGGACGAGAUACUGCCCGCCACACACAUAGCUACGUUACGGCCCCGCGGAGAAGCAUGUGAUGACUCACGCAAGGCAGAAGGGUUCCCCCAAGCAGAACAACGGCAGCGCUGAGUCGUGGGACGACUGUCCUCUUUGGCCACAUGGUGACACUAUGGGCGACGCCUGGACUGAGCGCACACUUCGAUUCGGGAGGACGAAGAAGAUAAGUGAGAUCGUCAAACAAAGGAAGGUCAUGGCCAAGAGGGUGAAUGACAAAAGUGGGAAGACAGAAAAAUCAGAUCAGAAAACAAAACUUGACCGAAGGCGCGUCAAGAAACGGGACAGGAAGUCCUAUCCUUUGCGCGGUAGGGCUGGGAGUUCAGAUGGGGAGGGACUCAGCUGUCACGUCCUCCUUACCAGAUUGGAGGAAAGCCUCCGUGAACAGGAGAGUUCUAAAGAAAGGGUGCGAAAGGAUGCACGCCGACAUUUAUCUCUCAAACCCAAACCCCAAAAAGGUAAAAGCAGUAAAAGGAAAGAGGCUGAGUCAUUACCAAAAACCAGAUUAAAGUCAAAAAGCCCAGAUCAUGGUGAGUGUAUUCAUGUCCCACAACCUCGCAAGCGCAGGCUGGCCUCUCUCAAUGCUGAGGCAGUGAACAGUCUACUGCUUGAAAGAGCUACUGACACACAGGCGGCAGCUAAGCAGGCCAGGAGACAGGAAGAGCCUCCAAAUGGAGGGAUAUCCCUGGAUACAAAUCCAACCAGGAGUGGUGUCCCUGGAGGUCUGAAGACCACACAAGGAAACAUCAGUAAAGCCUCCACAUCUCACAAACUGUGCCAAAACUCAAAGCGGGUCAAGAAGGCCAAAGCCAACCGAGCAGAGAGCGGGGGGAUGAGUCAGGAGAGUCUGGAUGCCCCCGCCCCCAGAAGACUGGCUGGACUCAACGCUGCUGCCCUGCUGAAGUUAACCAGCGUGUCUGCUACCAGUAAACAGAGAGUAAAGGCAGCACCUACAGCUACUAUCACAUCGGACUGCAAGGCUCCUGCUUUGGUCUCAACCACCAAACAGCACUCCAGGGGCCAACUCAAACAUAAGGGGCAGUCGCAAAAGCUGAAGAGGAAAAAGCCCCCCCCCCUGCACAGUGGCUGCACGGCCUGCAAGAAGAAGGCAGACUUUGAACCCAAAGUGGAGUGGGAGACCGGCGGCUGCACCCAUCGACUGACCAAACCCGGCUACCAGUCCCGAAGCAUGCUAGGGUACCCCUUAAAGCAAGUGAAGGAGGAGCAGCUGGAGACCGAACUGAGCCCAUACUACUGCUGUCCCCCAGAGGGCUCGGUGGAAUACUGCCACAGCUUGGCCUUCUUUCUGGGCCAGCAGCCCUACAGAGAAUCGGAUGAUCAGCCACUUAACUCAGCCAUGACCCCCGUGAAGCGUGAGUGCCUUGUAACCUCACCGUCCCUGACACAUUCCCACCCGCACACAGCUCUGACCCUCAGCCCGCACCCUUGCCUCUGCACGGCCGACCACUGCUUCUCCAGCUACUACGUUCAUAUCGCCCACCCGCCACACACUGGAACAACGUCAGCAAGCCUGGCCUCACAACCUCUGAACUUUGCCCCCUCCAGUUUGUGCCCUAAUCGCAUGACCGGCUCCAAGCUGCUGGGUCCACGGGUGUCCCACAGCUCGGGGAUGGCCCACCCUGCCUACUGCAACUCGGUGGCUUCGCCCUGUUACAGUGACGCCUGCGGGAUCAGUGGCUACACCUACAGAGCCAUGCCUCCUGUCACCAGCAGGGGUUGUUCUUUCAACACAGGAUGCACUGGAUGCACGCACAGCAUCAAAACAGAGGGUUACUCCUCCUCUCAGGGUGACCACAGCCCUUCCCUUCUGGUUCCCCCAUCCCUGCCCAUCUCCAGCUGCCCUCUCUCCAGCGUGCCCACUUCCACCCAAACUAAACCCCACCUGCUGACCCCCUUGUCGGGGCUAGACCAACCCCAGGCCCGGUUAAAGCUGGCCACAGAAUGCCCACAGAGCAACGAACCCUCCAACGACUCGCUGUCAAUGGGCCGCACGCGGCUAGCCCAGAAACAGCCGUCGCCCAUGCCAAGCCUGAGCAGCACGAAACAAAAGAGACUCAGCCGCAGACGGGCCACCAACGGCUGGCGGCCCGUUGGAAUGCCCACGGAGAGGGAGGUCUUUAUUGCGGGAGAGGAUAAAACGGCCCUGCGGCAGUGUUAUGAAGGCGUGGCGAGGGACGGCGAAGUGAUACAUGUCAGAGACACUGUGCUGCUACGAUCAGGCCCCAGGAAGAAAUCCCUCCCAUAUGUUGCCAAGAUAUCAUCGCUGUGGGAGGACCCCAAAACAGGAGAGCUGAUGAUGAGUCUUUUCUGGUACUACCGACCUGAGCACACACAGGGAGGCCGAGAUCCCAGCACACACUGUGAGAAUGAGAUUUUCGCCUCUCGGCAUCAGGAUGAAAAUAGUGUGGCCUGCAUAGAAGACAGAUGCUACGUUCUCCCACUAGCCCAGUACUGUAGAUUUUGUGCCUUGGUGAAGCGGCGUGCCGAAGGCGCCCCACCCGGCAGCGCCAGCAUGGUGCCCUGCUGCCCCGACUUCGCCCCCCCUUCCCACCGCUGUGUGCCCACAGACGUCGACCCCGAGCUGGUGUAUCUCUGCCGGCAUGUCUACGACUUCCGCUUUGGACGCAUCCUGAAGAACCUGCAGUAGAGGGUAGAAGAGGCGUCGCACCCGUGAAUUAAUCAUAACACAGCUCCCCCAUCCGGCAGGGACGGGGACCACUGUCUUUUCUGCUGGGGACGGUCAUGAUCAGAGGGACGGGAAAGGAUGGGGUGGGGCUGGGUUUUGGAGAGGGACAGAUGAAGCAGAAAGUGUUGGACACAUUAUGAAGCACAGAUCCCUUUAGCUGACUCCGGAGGGGUUCCACUGUAUCAGACGCAUCCCUCUCAGCCAGAGCACCAAUACUUCCUGGUUAGAAAGCGCGAGGGUUGGAGAAUUCAUUCAUCAGCUUGGAUUUUUCCGCGUCCACAAUUCUCUGAAGUUACAUGGAGACCCCUCCCCCCUCGCCUGCCAGGAAUUGUGAACACCAGGCUAAGCUGGGCUACUGUCAGGGCCGCGUUUCUCCCAAAGCAUCUUAGCACAACAAUCAUGUUUGUUCCAUUUGUAAGCCAAUGGCUCGGAAUGGUCCGGCGCAGAGGUGCUUCCGUGGGGGGGAGCACAAACCUGCACUGUCAGCUCAGUGUUAGCAGUGUUCAGCCAGCCGGGGCGAAGGUGCAGCUAAUGGAGGAGUGUUAUCUCAUUUCUCCUGAUUUGAGUUUGUCUCCGUUGUGUGUAUGUGCGUGUGUGGUUAAAUGGAUCAAUGUGGGUAUGUGUGAUGGUUUUUUAGGAGGCUUUCAGGCAAUCAAACCAAACAAGCAGCUUUAGAGAAACCCGUUCCUUUGUUUCUGUGUGCCACAGCGCGCUGACACUUACAGAAACCUUUUCAUUUCGAGUGAUGCUUUGCGCGAACUAAAAUACUGUACCUAAACGAUGUUUGUGAGAAAGAUUUUUCCUCUGGAGCAAGGCUCUUUAAAACUCUGGUCAGGACACUAAAAAUGGCUCUACUAGUGGAAACACACACACACGUUCAACCUUUCAUCUCAGCCUCAGUCCUGGAUUGAAGAAGGCUUGU